CACGGGGGGAGCAAGCGUUGUUCGGAAUUACUGGGCGUAAAGCGCGUGUAGGCGGCUGCUUAAGUCGGGUGUGAAAGCCCGGGGCUCAACCCCGGGAUGCCGCCCGAGACUGGGCGGCUUGAGGUCGGAAGAGGGGAGUGGAAUUCCAGGUGUAGCGGUGAAAUGCGUAGAGAUCUGGAGGAACACCCGUGGCGAAGGCGGCUCCCUGGUCCGAUUCUGACGCUGAGACGCGAAAGCGCGGGGAGCGAACGGG
rnacentral:rRNA from 1 species